AGUACUCAAGGUUGGUUUCUUUUUACUACAGAAACUGAAUGAACAGAAGAAUCUACGAUUGGUUUGUGUAUAAAUACUACUAAUAGUGCCUUUCUUUAUUUCUCAUCUCUCCCCAAUCGUUCAUCAUUCCAAAUAUACUUUGAAUCCUGAAAAGCCAACAUGAAGUUUUCAUUAUCCCUCACUCAAUUUCUCUGUUCCAUUUUGUUUCUCUUCCAUUUUCAUACAACAAUUUCAUCAUCAUUCUCCUCAAAUUACUCCUCUUCUAAUCAUUUGUGUGCUCCUCACCAAAGUCUCUCUCUCCUUCAAUUCAACCAAUCCUUUUCCAUUAAUAGUUCUGCUUCUUGGGAGGGUUGCCAAUAUCCCAAGACAGAGUCAUGGAAAGACGGUACAGAUUGCUGCUUGUGGGAUGGGGUCACUUGUGAUAGGAAAACCGGGCAAGUCACUGGACUGAACCUCUCUUGCAGCAUGCUUUACGGCACCCUCCAUUCCAAUAAUUCUCUCUUCUCUCUUCAUCAUCUUCAGAAGCUCGAUCUCUCUAUCAAUGAUUUCAACAGCUCCCAUAUUUCUUCUCGAUUUGGUCAGUUUUCCAAUCUGAAACAUCUUAAUCUAAAUAAUUCCAAUUUCGCAGGCCAAGUUCCAUUAGAAGUCUCCCGUCUCUCCAAAUUGAUUUCUCUUGAUCUCUCUGGAAACACCGAUCUAAGAGUAGGACCAAUUUCUUUUGACAAGCUUGUUCGAAACCUAACCAAGCUAAGAGAACUCGAUUUGACUUUGGUAGACAUGUCACUCGUUGUACCCAGUUCCUUGAUGAAUCUGUCUUCUUCUUUGUCAUUUCUUUCCCUUAAAGAUUGUAGACUGCAAGGAAAAUUCCCAUCCUCAAUGGGAAACCUUAAGCACCUCCAGUAUUUGGAUCUUGCAUUUAACCAUUUUACUGGUUCAAUUCCAUAUGAUUUUGGGCAAUUCACUAAGCUGGUUUCACUUUCUCUCUGGGGAAACGACUAUCUAAGUGUAGCACCAGAUUCUUUUGACAAGAUUGUUCAAAACCUAACAAAGCUAAGAGAUCUCAAUUUGGGUUCUGUAAAUAUGUCUUUGGUUGUACCUAAUUCCUUGACGAAUCUGUCCUCUACUUUGUCAUCUCUUUCCCUUUCGGGCUGUGGAUUGCAAGGGAAAAUCCCAGGUAAUAUCUUUCUCCUACCAAACCUUGAAUCACUCUAUUUGUCAUACAACGAAGGCCUCACAGGCUCUUUUCCUUCCUCCAAUGUGAGUAAUGUCCUCCGGGUGUUGGUCCUUUCUGAUACAAGAAUUUCAAUUUAUCUAGAAAAUGACGCCAUCAGUAAUUUAAAGUCGUUAAAGUAUAUGAUACUUAGUAAUUGUAGCAUUGUGGGGUCAAAACUAGCUCAGUUAGGUAAUCUUACACGGCUCUUUCAAUUAGACCUCUCAAACAACAAUUUUAGUGGUCAGAUCCCAUCUUCAUUUGAAAACCUUGUGCAGCUUGGUUACUUGGAUCUCAGUUCCAAUAAUUUUACAGGUCAGAUUCCAUCAUCACUUGGAAAUCUUGUGCAGCUCAAUACCUUGAAACUCAAUUCCAAUAACUUGAUGGGUCAGAUUUCAGAUUCUUUCGCUAACCUAACCCUACUCGUAUAUUUAGAUUUAUCAAACAAUCAACUCCAAGGCCCGAUCCAUUUUCAACUAAGUACCAUUCUACAUCUAGACCGAUUAUUUUUAUAUGGUAACUCACUCAAUGGGACGAUACCAUCCUUUUUAUUUGCUCUCCCUUUAUUAGAUUUGGACCUUCAUAAUAAUCAAUUCAUAGGCAAUAUAAGUGAAUUCCAACACAAUUCAUUACAAUUCCUUGAUUUGAGCAAUAACUCAUUGCAUGGUCCCAUCCCAAGUUCAAUUUUCAAACUUGAGAACUUGGGACUUCUUCUUGCAUCCAACAAUAAAUUGACAUGGGAGGUUCCUUCUUCAAUUUGCAAGUUAAAAUUCCUUCUAGUCCUGGACCUUUCCAACAAUAACUUGAGUGGUUCUGCACCACAAUGUUUGGGAAACUUCAGCAACAGACUCUCAGUUUUGCAUCUAGGCAUGAACAAUCUCCGAGGCACUAUUCCAUCAACAUUUUCAGAGGGAAGUAACUUGCAAUAUCUCAACCUCAAUGGCAAUGAAUUAGAAGGGAAAAUACCAUUGUCUAUCGUCAACUGCACAAUGCUGGAGUUUCUUAAUCUUGGUAACAAUAAGAUUGAGGAUACAUUCCCCUAUUUCCUAGAAAUGCUUCCAGAGCUAAAGAUUCUUGUUCUAAAAUCCAAUAAACUCCAAGGUUUUAUGAAGGGUCCGACUACUUUUAAUUCCUUCUCCAAAUUACAGAUUCUUGACAUCUCUGAAAAUAAUUUGACCGGACCAUUGCCAGAAGAGUUUUUCAAUGGUCUUGAAGGAAUGAUGAAUGUCGAUCAAGAUAUGAUUUACAUGACGGCAAAAAAUUCCUCUGGCUACACUUAUUCAAUAAAAAUGACAUGGAAAGGGUUGGAAAUUGAGUUUGUGAAAAUCCAAAGUAUCCUCAGAGUACUUGAUUUAUCAAAAAACAGUUUCACCGGUGAGAUUCCAAAACCAAUUGGAAAGCUUAAAGGACUUCAACAACUUAACCUCUCUCAUAAUUUCCUUACAGGCCAUAUCCAAUCUUCAUUAGGGUUUUUAACCAAUCUACAGUCAUUAGAUAUGUCUUCAAAUAUGCUUACGGGAAGGAUUCCCAUGCAGUUGACAGAUCUAACAUUUCUUCAAGUCUUAAACCUUUCACAAAACAAACUCGAGGGGCCCAUACCUGUUGGGAAGCAGUUCAACACGUUUGAUCCAAGCUCAUUUCAAGGAAACUUGGGUUUAUGUGGAUUCCCAAUGCCAACAAAAUGCAACAAUGGCGUGGUACCACCAUUACCGCCAUCAAACUUUAAUGAAGGAGAUGAUUCAACAUUGUUUGAAGAUGGGUUUGGAUGGAAAGCUGUGGCAAUGGGGUAUGGAUGUGGGUUUGUAUUUGGAGUCACAAUGGGUUAUAUUGUGUUUAGAACAAGACGACCUGCAUGGUUUCAUAGAAUGGUUGAACGUCAAUGGAAUCUGAAGGCAGGAAGAACAAAGAAGAAUGCUCGCAUACAUGGUGCAAGAAGAAAUUAAAAAAUGCAUUUGGUAAAUUCAACACAAUUUCAAUGAAGGUUUUACCUCACGAGAUACCAAGUAGAGUUGAUAUUGGAACAACACUAAAGUGGCAGAUUCAUAGUACUGGAUUUCUGUUGUUCAUUUUUUUUUUUUACUUCUAUGAAAAAAAGUCAAAGAAUGUAACAGUUAAUGUAUGUUGUAGUUUAUGUUAAACUAUAGAAUCAUGCUUUAUAUUACCAAAUCAAUAUUAAUUAGUAGAGGGAAAUAGAACAAAAACAAUUAAGAAAUUAAGAACAACAAAUAUAGUUAAAUUUCUUUAAAUGUAUAAAAAAUAUUUUAUAAGUGAUAAUACUAGUUUUGAGACGCGCCAAAAUGAGCUGAUAUAGAAAAUUUUAGUAUCAAAACGAAAGGGGAAAAAAGAGAAGGGAAACACAGAGAACGGGAGGAAGUGAAAAAAAAAAAAGGAGAGGAACUGAAAAAUUAAAAAAAGGAAAAAAGGAGAGAAGAACAAAAAACCAGAGAGAGGAGGAACAAGCAAAGAGAAGAACAGAAAAGAGAGAACAGGACGUACAACACAGAGGGCUGCACCGAGGAUACCAGGAGGAACAAGCACCGAGAAGAACAAAACAGAGAACACAAAAACACAGAGGAACCAGAGAGGAGAACGACUAGAGAGAAACCAAAAAAAGACAGAGGCAGAAUUGAAGAAAGGAGCGUUAACGACCAACAACCUCACAUCUUCGUCUGUUUCAGUUACCAACGAUUCUGUGUAAAAGUUUCAGCGCCAUCGUCUUUGUCUGUCUCAGUUAAGGUACAUGGAAACUAUCCAUACCCCAUCAUUUCCAUGUCCAAGCACGCAUGGCAAACAAAACUCUUCAUAUUUUAUAUAUUUCAUGAUAUUAAUAAGAAUAUCAAGAACAACCGACACUGCUCGACCCUGUUCAAGAUCUAGCAGUAAAGUUUUAUCAUGAGUAGUAUAUUUCAUGAUAUUAAUAAGUUAGGCAAACGUAGGUAGGAUGCAUGUUGUUUCCUUUUCAUACCCUAGAUAGGUCCAAACUUCUACGUUCUAGACCUAAUUAUUUAAAUCCAAACCCUUUUCAAAGAGGUUGGCUGAUUUAUACUUUGCA